rnacentral:rRNA from 1 species
AUACGUAGGGUGCAAGCGUUAAUCGGAAUUACUGGGCGUAAAGCGUGCGCAGGCGGUUUUGUAAGAAAGAGGUGAAAUCCCCGGGCUCAACCUGGGAACUGCCUUUGUGACUGCAAGGCUAGAGUGCGGCAGAGGGGGAUGGAAUUCCGCGUGUAGCAGUGAAAUGCGUAGAUAUGCGGAGGAACACCGAUGGCGAAGGCAAUCCCCUGGGCCUGUACUGACGCUCAUGCACGAAAGCGUGGGGAGCAAACAGGAUUAGAUACCCUGGUAGUCCACGCCCUAAACGAUGUCAACUGGUUGUUGGGUCUUCAUUGACUCAGUAACGAAGCUAACGCGUGAAGUUGACCGCCUGGGGAGUACGGCCGCAAGGUUGAAGCUUAAAGGAAUUGACGGGG